rnacentral:rRNA from 1 species
CGUUUAUUUGAUAGUACCUUACUACAUGGAUACCUGUGGUAAUUCUAGAGCUAAUACAUGCUGAAAACCUCGACUUCGGAAGGGGUGUAUUUAUUAGAUAAAAAACCAAUGCCCUUCGGGGCUCCUUGGUGAAUCAUAAUAACUUAACGAAUCGCAUGGCCUUGCGCCGGCGAUGGUUCAUUCAAAUUUCUGCCCUAUCAACUUUCGAUGGUAGGAUAGUGGCCUACCAUGGUGGCAACGGGUAACGGGGAAUUAGGGUUCGAUUCCGGAGAGGGAGCCUGAGAAACGGCUACCACAUCCAAGGAAGGCAGCAGGCGCGCAAAUUACCCAAUCCCGACACGGGGAGGUAGGACAAUAAAUACUGAUACGGGGCUCUUUUGGGUCUCGUAAUUGGAAUGAGUACAAUCUAAAUCCCUUAACGAGGAACAAUUGGAGGGCAAGUCUGGUGCCAGCAGCCGCGGUAAUUCCAGCUCCAAUAGCGUAUAUUAAAGUUGUUGCAGUUAAAAAGCUCGUAGUUGAACCUUGGGUCUGGCUGGCCGGUCCGCCUCACCGCGAGUACUGGUCCGGCUGGACCUUUCCUUCUGGGGAAUCUCAUGGCCUUCACUGGCUGUGGGGGGAACCAGGACUUUUACUGUGAAAAAAAUUAGAGUGUUCAAAGCAGGCCUUUGCUCGAAUACAUUAGCAUGGAAUAAUAGAAUAGGACGUGCGGUUCUAUUUUGUUGGUUUCUAAGGACCG